GAUGAACGCUGGCGGCGUGCCUAAUACAUGCAAGUCGAGCGAACAGACGAGGAGCUUGCUCCUCUGACGUUAGCGGCGGACGGGUGAGUAACACGUGGAUAACCUACCUAUAAGACUGGGAUAACUUCGGGAAACCGGAGCUAAUACCGGAUAAUAUAUUGAACCGCAUGGUUCAAUAGUGAAAGACGGUUUUGCUGUCACUUAUAGAUGGAUCCGCGCCGCAUUAGCUAGUUGGUAAGGUAACGGCUUACCAAGGCAACGAUGCGUAGCCGACCUGAGAGGGUGAUCGGCCACCCUGGAACUGAGACACGGUCCAGACUCCUACGGGAGGCAGAAGUGGGGAAUCUUCCGCAAUGGGCGAAAGCCUGACGGAGCAACGCCGCGUGGGUGAUGAAGGUCUCCGGAUCGUAAAACUCUGUUAUUAGGGAAAAAAAAAUGUGUAAGUAACUAUGCACGUCUUGACGGUACCUAAGCAGAAAGCCACGGCUAACUACGG
rnacentral:rRNA from 1 species